rnacentral:sRNA from 1 species
CAAACCAUUUUGCACCUCAGUGCAUAAGCGGGAUGAAAACCGUUCUGAGAGGCGUAGGCUUUCGGCAGUGGGAGCUGUCGGAACACCCGCAUUGGGGAAAAGCGCCGGGGAUACCCUGCGUCAGUGCCCUGUGGAACCCGCGCGAGCGGGCAACGGAAUGCCGAAAGGCAAAAAAUGCAGUGCUGUGCCGGAGGAACGCAGACCAAAGCGCGGCCUCCGCCGCCGGUCAAUAGACGCCCUCCCGAAAGGAGGGAAUAACCCGGAAUGCCGCGGGGUGGUGCCCGCAGGAGAGCGCCGAAGUGAGCAUUCGGCCUUUUCCGGGAGGACUGACGCGCCGGUUUCCAGUGAAGCCCCGAAAGGGGUGUAUAAGACGGAAGGCUGACCCAUGUAGCGGAAUGGAGAAAAUAUGCUCUGACUUCCUGUACAGCUUACUUCAUUGUCUAAGAUGGAGCAUUGCCGGAAGACCCGUGAAUGGCAGAGGUAAUCAAUCCUUUUUGAGAUCAGCGGCGAAAGCCGCAGGAUACGCGGAUGGGAGUCGCUGCCCAUCAACCGGCCGUAUUCUCUCAAUGGCUGAACAGGUCUGAAGUUCUGGUCGGUACCGUGAAAGCGG